AUACACAUAUACACGAGUGUCUUAGAGUGCACAUAGUCAUUCUUUCAAAAACUUUUAAUUGAUAUUAAAACUAUUAAAACUGAUUUUAUUAACAGUAAUAGUGGUAUUUAUGUACUUACAUAACAUACUAAGCUGACAGACAGAAAAGAAACUCACCACCCAAGAAAGAAAAUUUGUUAAUUUCUACCUCUCUUCACUUAUUCAGGUCCUAAACUCUGGAACAGUCUCCCUUUCCAGGACAUAAAGAAGCAGAAGAGAGAACAAGCCAUGUCCAUAUUCAACUGUCGCAACAGUUACUAUACACCUUGGGGGUAUAAAAGCGCCUUACAAGACCGUCUGAUCAUCUUCCUCACUACUGGUUUUUGUGCGGGUUUUCUUGCUCUGCUUUUGGCCCUCGGUGUUCUGUACCACCAUCAUAAGAGCAGAGGUCGAAUCUCAUUCAUCGCCAUCUUCCUUCUACUCAGUGACCUGCUGGAGCUGAUUCUGAGUCCAGUCCUUUUAACAUACAUUUUCAAUGGAAAUGCAGGUUGUAUGAACCCUGUUAUCACCCUUUUAUUUGGAGCUAGGCUCUGUGGGAAUUUGCUUCACCAGGUGGUGGCAUUAGAAAGCAUUGUUACUGUAAAAUAUCCAUCAGUUGCUGUUAUUUUCUCCAAUUCCUGCUCUAUUACCUUCUGCAUGUUUGUGUGGCUGCUAGCAAUUGGGUGCCAGUUCAUCCCAAUGCACAUUAAUUUUGUAAUAAAUAUGUGUUUAUGUGUGUUACCUGUAACUACAGGUGCCGCAUGUAUAGUAACAUUUAAAGCCCCUCUUGACACCACCCAAGCCACAGUCAGGAAACCAGGAGUGUUAGUGCUAAGUGUUGCCAUGUUUACUCUGAUCAUUUUAUAUGUGCCAUUUUACCUGGAUUUUUUUAUUGAAACACCUUUUAUGUUGGACUGUCUAGUAAGUAUGAGACUGAUUUCAGAGCCCCUCCUGUGUGUUUUCAUCUGCAGGGAAAAUCGAAACUAAAUCGAAAUCCAAACAAUUUUUCUGCAGCACAAUAGCAAAGUAUAUACAUAU